rnacentral:tRNA from 1 species
UAAGUUGUGGCCUAGUGAAAAGGCGUUUGGCCGUUAACCAAGAGAUAAUAAGAUCAAUACUUAUCAGCUUAG